AUGGAGGUUGCCAUAUCUGCAGUUACAGGUGAACUAGUGAGCCGGUUCAUCUCCUUCCUGAUGAAAAAGUACCACUCCUCCAUCCAUGCGAAGUUAGAGGAGAAGAUGGAGGCGGAUGCACGGUACAUAACCAACUCAGGGAUGAUGAUGCAGCCCAAGAAGCUUUCCGAGGCCAUGUACCGUGGAUACCACGAGCUGGACACCUUGAGGUACCAAACUCUCCAAGACGGUGUAGGUUUCAACGAGGUUAGCAACGACUCAUCUACCAGCUGCUUGUAUUUACCCAAGCGUUCUCGGACAACUGACACGGCCAUGCACCUCAAGUCACAUACUACCUUGGAAAGCUUAGAAAUUGCUAUAGCUAACAUGGCAGAAUUCAUUGUACUUUUGGGCGGAUGUGAGCGCAUGGUUCGUAGGCCCUAUGAUGUUUAUCUUUACACCGACAACUUCAUGUUCAGCCGGCAUGCUGAGAAGCAGAAGCUCUUGAGCUUCUUGUUGCAGCACAAUGACCUUACCGGUGGUCAUGCACUGGAUAUUCUUCCGAUCAUAGGUGCUUCUGCAACUGGGAAGAAAACUUUGGUUGCUCAUGCGUGUGGCGACGACAGAGUUCGCACACGCUUCCCGUCUGUUCUACACUUAGUAGUUAUUGAAUUUGCUUCUGAUGUAGGUGAUGAUGACUGGAAAAAGUUUCACUCAUUCGUCAUAAGAAAGGGCAGAGGAAGCAAGAUCAUCAUCAUUAGUAGGCUUCAAAGACUAGCUAGAUUUGGAACGGUAAAGCCGAUUUUCUUAAUUGUUCUAUCUUAUGAUGAGUUGAGGUACCUUUUCAAGACUCUGGCAUUCGGAAGUGUAGACCCUGCAGAACAUCCAAGGCUAGUACAGCUAGCAGAUGAAUUUGCCAAGGGGUUGCACGGUACACAUGGUUCACUUCUCGCAGCAAAUAUGUUUGCGGAUGUGUUGAGGAGGAAACUCGAUAUUCAGUUUUGGCGUUGCAUAUUGCACAAGGGGCUAAGAUACGUUAGAAGAAAUCUCGCCAUGUAUGGUGCGCACCCAAGCAUGCUUAUGGAACAAGGCCAUCCAGUGGACAUAACAGACUUUGCUUUGCAUCCACUUAGCAUGACACCUUAUACUGUUUAUGCUUCAAUGAAGAAGGAAUCACCAAGUAUGACAUUUGGGCAACUUCUAUCAGAUCCUAGUCUUAGACCGGAACAAGACUUUAUGCUAAUUUCAUGGGAAUCAAGGAUGCCACCUCAUAAUUCAUUUGCUUGUUUUGUUACAAGUCAUGCUCAGGUCACACUUGAAGGUAGUGCCAUACCAGGGAGGAAGCGAAGAGGAGUGCCAAUCUAA
rnacentral:rRNA from 1 species